ACUCACUUCAACUGGACACAUACUAAAAUGGAGCAAUACAGAGAAGGUUAGCAUGCCCCCUGCUUAAGGAUGGCACACAAAUUUGUGAAGAGUUCAAGUUCAUU